AAAAAAGUCAAGAUCAAUGUUCAUAGGACUGUGGGGACAAAGGUUGUCUUUGAUGAGGAAGGCAACACACGUGCUCCACUUGCUAUGUUGGUCGACAAGACGAGCGACGAUAUACUGCUUGACCAAGAUAUUGAAGGUGUAGUGGAGGAUUCAAUCUCUUCAAGCUGGAAAAGCCAAGGCUUAGCAUUUCUUCAAGUAGAGUGUUAUUUAAUGUUGCAUUCCAUGGUCGUUUAUCUUAGUCGGAACUUGAAUUAGGUGUUAUUGAAACAGGGUUUUGUAGCUACCUUGUAUACUAGCUUCUUUAACCAUGAUUGUUAAUUAUUACGUGUUUUGUAGCUUCUUUUAUAUUUGGCCGAGUUAAUAUAGAUCAUGAGUUUGAACAUAAUAUUUUAAUUCUAAAUUUAAAUUCAUUAAUUUUAUAUUAACCUUUAAAGUUAAAAUUUUAAUAGAAAAUUUAAUUUAAUUAAAUUUUUUUAUCCUUAAAAGUAUGUAGUUUAAAUUUUAAAUAUCAAAAAUAAAACAUUAUAUAAUAUUUAUCAUAGAAAUAAUUUUUUUUUAAAUAAAAUUUUUUAAAAAGUUAUGUUUUUAGUGGCGUUUGUGAAAAAGCGUCGCUAAAUGUCAUUUUUAUAGCGGCGUUUAUAAUAUAAGCGCCACUAAAAGUUAUGACCUAUAGUUAGCGGCGUUUGUGGGAAAAACGCCGCUAAAGGUCAUGGUCUUUAGCGGCGUUUGUAGGAAUGUGCCGCUAAAGGUCAUGGUCUUUAGCGGCGCUUUUCCCACAAACGCCGCUAAAGGUCAUGAUCUUUAGAGGCAUUUAUUUCUGAAAACGCCGUUAAAGUUAGCGACGCUUUCAUUAGCGGCGUUUUUUGCUGCGCUUCUAAAAGCGCCGCAACUAAUUUUAGCGGCGCUUUUUGGCGCUGCUAAAGGCCUAAAAAAGCGCCGCUAAAAGCCUGUUUUGGUGUAGUGUUACUAAGCAUUCAUUGCUUAUGUGAUUAUAUUUCUCUUACUUUAUAGAUUAUCGGAAGCUCGAUCAGGUUGGAAGCUAGUCAGAGAUCCAUCACACUAUCCAUCGAUUUUAUCGGUUUUUAAAGGUCGCAUUUCGAGAGUUACAUGGCCUGGCACAUAGGCGUGUGGCUUGGCCGUGUGUACCAAGUUAAAGAAUUGCACGGGCACGGACACAGGCUGGAACACGGCUGUGUGUCCCUACUUCGAAUGGCCACACGGUCGUGUUACUCUUGUAUUAUGAAUUUUUCUAUCUUUUUUCCAUAAAGUUCUAAAUUUUUUUAAUUUAGUCCUGAAUCGUUUCUAAUGUGUUUCUAAGGCCUCAAGGGCUCGAAAAAGGGAUGUUAUGCAUGUAUUUGAAUGGAAUAUGAUGUGUUUUAUAAAUGAUUGUAAUCGAAUGUUUUAAGUUAAAAGUUUUCGGUAA